rnacentral:tRNA from 1 species
GGUGCCAUAGCUCAGUUGGUAGAGCAAAGGACUGAAAAUCCUUGUGUCGCUGGUUCGAUUCCAGCUGGCACCACCU